rnacentral:rRNA from 1 species
UGGGCAACCUACCCUUGACUCUGGGAUAACUCCGGGAAACCGGAGCUAAUACCGGAUAUGAACACGAAGGACAUCCUUUGUGUUGCAAAGUUUUUCGGUCAGGGAUGGGCCCGCGGCCUAUCAGCUUGUUGGUGGGGUAAUGGCCUACCAAGGCGACGACGGGUAGCCGGCCUGAGAGGGCGACCGGCCACACUGGGACUGAGACACGGCCCAGACUCCUACGGGAGGCA